GUGCUUAUUCCAGGACUUUGACGCAUAGCCAAGCAGAACGGAAUUGUCAAAAGCCCCAUGUGUCGUGUCUCAUGACUCAUCUUUUCCCACGCCCCUUUUUACGUCGUCUGCCGAAGAAGUUUUCCAUCAAGAAUGUAACUUAACAACUGCUUAACAAAGAAUUGAGAAGAAUGGAACAAAAGUCUUCCAUCAACAAAAACAGAUAUGGAGAGCUUCCAGCUGCAUCAUUCUUCUCUCCUGUCCUUGCGUACGUUUAAGCGAGUGCAAAGGUAUCCAUAUGGUAUGGAGACGUCGUAUAUAUUCUACCUCCAGAAGUCACCACUACUGUAAUCAUUCAUUUGGCCAUCAAGUCAAGGGCUCUGGGUUCGCAUUUUUGGUCAUUGUUUUUGACGUUUGAUGAAAUCUCUUUGGGUCGCACUGGCCUUCGUCCCAUCUAUGAAUUACCAUUUAGGUUAACCAAUCAAGUAAAUAUCGCCAUUGGUCUGCACUCUGCAGAAGCAAUGUCAUUUUUUGCUGCCUUUAAAAGUGGUUCCACUGGUUCUAGCCACUGACUGACCGUUCUGUGUAUUUCUUUUAAAUUUGA